rnacentral:rRNA from 1 species
UGGGGAAUCUUGCGCAAUGCGCGAAAGCGUGACGCAGCAACGCCGCGUGGAGGAAGACGGUCUUCGGAUUGUAAACUCCUUUCAGUUGGGACGAAGCUCAACGGGUUAAUAGCCCGGCGGAGUGACGGUACCUUCAGAAGAAGCCCCGGCUAACUACGUGCCAGCAGCCGCGGUAAUACGUAGGGGGCUAGCGUUGUCCGGAAUCAUUGGGCGUAAAGCGCGUGUAGGCGGUCCGGUAAGUCCGCUGUGAAAGUCGGGGGCUCAACCCUCGAAUGCCGGUGGAUACUGUCGGGCUAGAGUGCGGAAGAGGCGAGUGGAAUUCCUGGUGUAGCGGUGAAAUGCGCAGAUAUCAGGAGGAACACCAAUUGCGAAGGCAGCUCGCUGGGACGUUACUGACGCUGAGACGCGAAAGCGUGGGGAGCAAACAG